rnacentral:lncRNA from 1 species
GCCGCACAUCUGCAAUGGAUGGUCGCGAGGAAUCAUCCGGCCUGAUCAAGGGGAAUAAGCAGACCCACAGCACUGAGCCUGAGAACUUAAAGGCUGCAGCUCCUUCCACUACAACGAGCUGAUUCACUGCAGGACUGUGGGUGUGGACCCGGCAGCUGAUGGCAAAGGUGUGGUGGUGGUCAUGGAGUGGAGAUCCGGCCAGCAGAAGCCAGCCACCUCCUAUAGGACCACCGUCAACAAGAACGCCUGCACCAUGCUCGGCAACAUCACACACAUGAUCCGCAAGAACAAAGCCUCUCCCCAACCUGCGCACAGCUGCCAUCCCAGAGCCAGCGCCAUCCUGCGAAGCCAGAAGCCUGUGAUGGUGAAGAGGAAGGGGACCUGCCCCACCAAGAGCUCCUGA